rnacentral:rRNA from 1 species
AUUGAACGCUGGCGGCAUGCUUUACACAUGCAAGUCGAACGGUAACAGGGUGCUUGCACCGCUGACGAGUGGCGAACGGGUGAGUAGUGCGUCGGAACGUGCCGAGUAGUGGGGGAUAACGCAUCGAAAGGUGUGCUAAUACCGCAUACGUACUGAGGUAGAAAGUGGGGGACCUUCGGGCCUCACGCUAUUCGAGCGGCCGACGUCUGAUUAGCUAGUUGGUGAGGUAAAGGCUCACCAAGGCGACGAUCAGUAGCGGGUCUGAGAGGAUGAUCCGCCAAACUGGGCCUGAGACACGGCCCAGACUCCGACGGGAGGCAGCAGUGGGGAAUUUUGGACAAUGGGCGCAAGCCUGAUCCAGCCAUGCCGCGUGUCUGAAGAAGGCCUUCGGGUUGUAAAGGACUUUUGUCCGGGAGCAAAUACCCAGUGCUAAUAACGCUGGGGGCUGAGAGUACCGGAAGAAUAAGCACCGGCUAACUACGUGCCAGCCGCCGCUGUAAAAC